rnacentral:rRNA from 1 species
GACGAACGCUGGCGGCGUGCUUAACACAUGCAAGUCGAACGAAGUGGCGAACGGGUGAGUAACGCGUAAUCAACCUGCCCUUCAGAGGGGGAAACCAGUUGGAAACGACUCCUAAUACCGCAUACUGAAGGAGGGGUUUGUGUCUGAUUAGCUAGUUUGAGGGGUAAAGGCACACCAAGGCGAUGAUCAGUAGCCGGUCUGAGAGUGUGAACGGCCACAGUGGGACUGAGACACGGCCCAGACGCCUACGGGAUGCAGCAGUGGGGAAUCGUCGGCAAUGGACGAAAGUCUGACGGAGCAACGCCGGGGGAGUGAUGACGGCCUUCGGGUUGGAAAGCUCUUUUAAUCGGGACGCGGUACCGGAAUAGAAAGCCACGGCUAACUACGUGCCAGCAGCCGCGGUAAUUC